GAACUAUGAGACGGUGACCUCGCUGGGCUCGCCAAUUUGUUUGAUCAGAAGAUAAAAGUUCGUGUUUCGAAUCAGGUUCCACAGAAUUGAUAAAGGGACCUUCGGGGGUAUGACAGGAAGCUCACACGGAGACAGAUAGAGUCAUAACGACUUUUAUUAAACUCAAUGAAAUAUAGGGUUUCCAGUUUCCAAACCUGAUGUGAUCUCGCAGCUGGAACGAGGA